UUUGAAACACCGAUUCCUGUAUGAUCAUCGAAGUUAAGCAACGUCGAGUUCUGCCAGUACCUAGAUGGGUGACCGUUUGGGAAUACCAGGCGCUGUAAG